CCUACGGGUGGCAGCAGUGAGGAAUAUUGGUCAACGGGCGGGAGCCUGAACCAGCCAAGCCGCGUGAGGGAAGAAGGUACAGCGUAUCGUAAACCUCUUUUGUCAGGGAACAAAGGCGGGGACUAGUCCCCGGAUGAGGGUAGCUGAAGAAAAAGCAUCGGCUAACUCCGUGCCAGCAGCCGCGGUAAUACGGAGGAUGCGAGCGUUAUCCGGAUUUAUGGGGUUAAAAGGGUGCGCAGGCGUCCUGUUAAGUCAGCGGUAAAAGCCAGGGGCUCAACCCCGGCGAGCCGUUGAAACUGGCGGGCUGUGGUUGGAGAGAAGUACGCGGAAUGCGCGGUGUAGCGGUGAAAUGCUUAGAUAUCGCGCAGAACCCCGAUUGCGAAGGCAGCGUACCGGCUCCACACUGACGCUGAGGCACGAAAGCGUGGGUAUCGAACAGGAUUAGAUACCCUAGUAGUC
rnacentral:rRNA from 1 species